UACGUAGGGUGCGAGCGUUAAUCGGAAUUACUGGGCGUAAAGCGUGCGCAGGCGGCGCGUUAAGACAGGUGUGAAAGCCCCGAGCUUAACUUGGGAAUUGCGCUUGUGACUGGCGUGCUGGAGUGUGGCAGAGGGAGGUGGAAUUCCACGUGUAGCAGUGAAAUGCGUAGAGAUGAUGGAGGAACACCGAUGGCGAAGGCAGCCUCCUGGGCCAGCAC
rnacentral:rRNA from 1 species